AGCGGUCUUUGGCUUGAGGCACGAGUACCUUUCAAUUCUACUCUCCUCUUACAAAAAGGGAGAAUAACAAGACUCGGAGAACUAUUACCCACGUUAAAAACACAGCCGACUGGCAGAGAAGACAGCUCUAUCAGUGCAGAGCUUGCCUUCCAGGCACAAGGUCUUGGUUCGGGCUGUACUUCAGAUGACGCAGCUCCUCUCCGUGAGCUGUCCACCCUUCUCCCCCUCAGCCAUGACGAACAUUUUCCUUGGUAAGCCAGCCUUGGCCUCAGCAGAACUGUGACAUUAGUGUGGCUUGGCUGUGCUUCUGCCAGCUAAGCCUGAAUCUGCUUGCCUUUCCGUAAGACACGCCGGCUGGCACGGCUGGCACGGUGCUUCACCACAGCACCGCGGUGGCUUCAUGGGCCCUGUCAGCGUUUCUUCCCCUUGCCUCCAUGAUCUCCGUUAUUUGAAGUUGGGAACAGAAGUCUGUGGUCGAGUCAACACCAGCAGAGAUGUGGAAAGUAGGAACAGCUCUGGGCUUCUGGGACCCCUCACAACACCAUUCAGAACUCCGGAAAGUCUUCAGGGAGAGGACUCACUCAGGGAUAAAUUAGUUUAGCAGAGCUGAUAGGGUGGGAUGAGACCUAAUUACUCUCUCUCCCCGAUCUUGCAGCCCGCUUGGCAGUGGAGAGAAAGUCAAGUUUGCUGGGCCGUGUCAUCGGGACUUCCUUUGGCACCUACGUAGUACUGUCACAGACACUGGAACUGCAACGAGCGAUUGCAUUAGCUCUCAGCAACGUGUUUAUUUGUGACUGGCCUACUUAGAAAGACAACUGGGAUGGAAAAAGGAAUAUUUUAAGGGUAGAGCCCAAUGGUAUUGUGAAAGAGAAUCUCAAGCCUGAGGUCCAUGCCCUGGACAACCCUAGUCCACGUGAGCUCAUGUGUCUAUAUAAGGAAGAAUCUUGGCUCUAUCAGUGUGUGAAAGGCCUGUGGUGCCAUGAAGCUAAGAGCUCCACUCUCAACUCUCAGAGCCGGUGGACUGUCAGCUGACUCUGGCAUUGGGUCAAUAUUCAGUUGAACCAGUCAGGGUCCAGAUGAACCAGGACUCCUGCCCUGUGUUUCUACCAUUUUCUUAGCUUUACCUAAUAUUGUAUUUGCCCUCAGAGCAAUGUUCAGGUCCUCGAGGACUUGGCAUUCCACACCUCUUCUGGCUCCAGGAGAUGGAGGAGAGUUGACUCAAACCUUCCGCUCAAACACUCCAGCAAACCGGGACUUCUGUGUAACAUCAGUGUCCUCUUACCAUAUGUCCAAAGGGAGUGCAUGUCUUUCUCCUCCAGCCAACGAAACUUGGGGGCUCAAUUCUGACUGGACCAACUAAGAUCAUGUGACCAGCAUGUCCAGUUACUGCGACUGAGAGAUACCAUACGCGGAUUGGCCACAGCAUCUGUUCCUUACCCAUGUCUGGCUUAUUCAGAGUCUUAAAGUGGGUACAACUAUGCUUAGUAACUUCGGCCAUUCAUAACCCACCAUGGAGGUCUUGAGCUAUAGAUAAGAGGAAACCGAAGCCUGAGCAGGAAGAGAGCUGUCCCAACGAUGUCUAGAAAGUGACACAGUCAGAUUCGCAGCACACUGGUCUCAUCCAGAACUAUGCUUCACCACUGGCCCGGCUGCCUGCUGUUCCCCUGUGCUUGGACCCCAGGACUGAGUGGGACCAGCAAGUCUAUGACACCCACAAGGCUGACGCUCUGUAUGGAUGCUCUUCUCCUCUGACUUCUUACUGAACAGGGAUCAAGUUUAAUGCAGUUUUGGAUGUAAAUGCUUGCAGCUAUCAUUUCAAAGGGAGACUCCUGAUUUAAAAAAAAAAAGGCUUUGUCAAGUUCCGGGGGUACAGGAAGAUGACUCUCUUAAGGCUUGGGGGAGUUGAAAGAGAAUUUCACACUUGCUAAUCGGCCUGAUGCACAGGUCCUUCCUUAGGGCCUGUGAGGGUCCAGUGUGCCCCCCCCCCCAUACGAAAAUGGGUGUGCACGCUUCCCUCUCCUUCACCCAUCAGUGUGUUUAUGCUCAGUCUUCCUGCUCUUCGCUGUGCCUGGCUCGGGCUCCCGCACACCUGCAGGGAGCAGGAGGCAUUACUUUUCCCCGCCCCCACAGGAUUCCUGUGAACCCCAGGGUGGAAGCGAGGUCCUGAGGUCCUCAGGGGAAGAAGAGCAGAUAGUAAAUUGUAUUUUUCUUCACGGUACCUUGCACUUUCACGUGGUUGUCUCAGAGGAAACACAAGCAGAUCUCUGUGGGAUAGCUCUCCUGCCAGAAAGCUCUCAGGAGCACCCAGCCCUCCGUUAGAGGCGUCUCAGGAGAGGGUACGUCUCCUAUUUUAUUGAAACACUUCCCGAGGUAGAGUCUGAUUAUGUAUAGAUGAUCAUUUGUACAAGGUCCUGUCACUUUGGGGCCUGGCUGUUUCAUAUUUUCUUUGAGGAAAAUGUAUUUUAAACAUCUCCCCCCAACUUGGUUAAUAGUUGCUCUCCAUAUAAAGUCUGUGUGAGUGAGCAAGA